rnacentral:piRNA from 1 species
UCUCCUCUGGUGAUUUGCAGUUUGAAUCCGC